rnacentral:rRNA from 1 species
AUUGAACGCUGGCGGCAGGCCUAACACAUGCAAGUCGAGCGGAUGAAGGGAGCUUGCUCCUGGAUUCAGCGGCGGACGGGUGAGUAAUGCCUAGGAAUCUGCCUGGUAGUGGGGGAUAACGCCCGGAAACGGGCGCUAAUACCGCAUACGUCCUGAGGGAGAAAGUGGGGGAUCUUCGGACCUCACGCUAUCAGAUGAGCCUAGGUCGGAUUAGCUAGUUGGUGGGGUAAAGGCCUACCAAGGCGACGAUCCGUAACCGGUCUGAGAGGAUGAUCAGUCACACUGGAACUGAGACACGGUCCAGACUCCUACGGGAGGCAGCAGUGGGGAAUAUUGGACAAUGGGCGAAAGCCUGAUCCAGCCAUGCCGCGUGUGUGAAGAAGGUCUUCGGAUUGUAAAGCACUUUAAGUUGGGAGGAAGGGCAGUAAGUUAAUACCUUGCUGUUUUGACGUUACCAACAGAAUAAGCACCGGCUAACUUCGUG